rnacentral:rRNA from 1 species
UACGGAGGGUGCAAGCGUUAUCCGGAUUCACUGGGUUUAAAGGGUGCGUAGGAGGGCAGGUAAGUCAGUGGUGAAAUCUCCAAGCUUAACUUGGAACUGCCGUUGAUACUAUCUGUCUUGAAUACCGUUGGAGGUGAGCGGAAUAUGUCAUGUAGCGGUGAAAAUGCUUAGAUAUGACAUAGAACACCAAUUGCGAAGGCAGCUCGCUACACGAAUAUUGACUCUGAGGCACGAAAGCGUGGGGAUCAAACAGG